rnacentral:rRNA from 1 species
CGGAUCCCUUACUGAGGUAACGGCUCACCAAGGCAACGAUGCGUAGCCGACCUGAGAGGGUGAUCGGCCACACUGGGACUGAGACACGGCCCAGAGCUAAUACCGAGGCAGCAGUAGGGAAUCUUCCGCAAUGGACGAAAGUCUGACGGAGCAACGCCGCGUGAGUGAUGAAGGCUUUCGGGUCGUAAAACUCUGUUGUUAGGGAAGAACAAGUGCUAGUUGAAUAAGCUGGCACCUUGACGGUACCUAACCAGAAAGCCACGGGCUAACUACGUGCCAGCAGCCCUACGGGAGGCGUGGCAAGCGUUAUCCGGAAUUAUUGGGCGUAAAGCGCGCGCAGGUGGUUUCUUAAGUCUGAUGUGAAAGCCCACGGCUCAACCGUGGAGGGUCAUUGGAAACUGGGAGACUUGAGUGCAGAAGAGGAAAGUGGAAUUCCAUGUGUAGCGGUGAAAUGCGUAGAGAUAUGGAGGAACACCAGUGGCGAAGGCGACUUUCUGGUCUGUAACUGACACUGAGGCGCGAAAGCGUGCCAGCAGCCGCGGGAUUAGAUACCCUGGUAGUCCACGCCGUAAACGAUGAGUGCUAAGUGUUAGAGGGUUUCCGCCCUUUAGUGCUGAAGUUAACGCAUUAAGCACUCCGCCUGGGGAGUACGGCCGCAAGGCUGAAACUCAAAGGAAUUGACGGGGGCCCGCACAAGCGGUGGCGAAAGCGUGGGGAUCGAAGCAACGCGAAGAACCUUACCAGGUCUUGACAUCCUUUGACAACCCUAGAGAUAGGGCUUUUCCUUCGGGAGCAGAGUGACAGGUGGUGCAUGGUUGUCGUCAGCUCGUGUCGUGAGAUGUUGGGUUAAGUCCCGCAACGAGCGCAACCCUUGAUUUGCACAAGCAGUGGAGCUUUAGUUGGGCACUUUAAGGUGACUGCCGGUGACAAACCGGAGGAAGGUGGGGAUGACGUCAAAUCAUCAUGCCCCUUAUGACCUGGGCUACACACGUGCUACAAUGGACGGUACAAAGAGCUGCAAGACCGCGAGGUGGAGCUAAUCUCAUAAAACCGUGGCAGCGAGACCGCGAGGUUAAGCCAACUUGCCUACAUGAAGCUGGAAUCGCUAGUAAUCGCGGAUCAGCAUGCCGCGGUGAAUACGUUCCCGGGCCUUGUACACACCGCCCGUCACACCACGAGAGUUUGUNACACCCAACACCCGAAGUCGGUGCGGUUG